CUUAAAAAAGAGAAAAGGAGAGAGGGGGUUUUUCAGUUUUUUCUUUCUAAAAAAGCAACUAAAUAUUCUUUAUCCCUAAUUAGCUCGCUGUUAGAUUACGUACCGCGGCAAGAMGGAAWGACYCMGUGAACCUUUACUAUAGCUUGACACUGAACAUUGAKCCUUGAUGUGUAGRAUASGUGGGAGGCUUWGAAGUGUGGACGCCAGUCUGCAUGGAGCCGACMUUGAAAUACCACCCUUUAAUGUUURAUGUUCUAACGUUGACCCRWAAUCCGGGUUGCGGACAGUGUCUGGUGGGUAGUUUGACUGGGGCGGUCUCCUCCUAAAGAGUAACGGAGGAGCACGAAGGUUGGCUAAUCCUGGUCGGACAUCAGGAGGUUAGUGCAAUGGCAUAAGCCAGCUUGACUGCGAGCGUGACGGCGCGAGCAGGUGCGAAAGCAGGUCAUAGUGAUCCGGUGGUUCUGAAUGGAAGGGCCAUCGCUCAACGGAUAAAAGGUACUCCGGGGAUAACAGGCUGAUACCGCCCAAGAGUUCAUAUCGACGGCGGUGUUUGGCACCUCGAUGUCGGCUCAUCACAUCCUGGGGCUGAAGUAGAUCUGCAAGAAU
rnacentral:rRNA from 1 species